UGGCAAAUAACAUCAUAUCAACAUCAUUUCCCCUGUACUUUUUGUUUCUCACAGAAUUUAAUAAAUAGGUAUAUAAAAUAAAAGGAUUAAGAAAAGAAACAAAGAAAGAAAGAAAACUCCAUUACAACUCCACUACUCCAAUGAGGCACUAAUCUAAUGGCCAAUUGAAAAAUGCAUAAACCAUCCUAGAUUAAUUAAACCCUGAAACUACAGGUUGCAUAACAAUAAAAU